AUAAAAUAUACACCCACUUUCCUGUAGGCUAUAGACAAUCUGAUGGAGGUUCAUCCUCAGUCACAGUUCUCUCUUUUUUGAUGCCUUGUACACACUAUUACCACACAAAGGGAAAGAUCAAUUCUAUAUCCAGAGGAAAAGUCACCAAACGCAGGGUGCUCUGGUAGAACACCUGUCAGUAAGCAGCUGCCAGUAGCUGUGGAGCUGGCCAGGACCUGUAUGGAGCAGAUUUAGACCUGGAGGAUUGAGUGCUAAAGCUCAGGAGGGGACUAUGUGGACACUGUGCUCUGUCUGGCAUGGGUCUGAGAGAAGCCCAUGGCUCUGAUCUGCCUGCUAGAGAAGACUGGAGGCAGAGAGGGACCCUGACUGGAACUCCUUCCAGUCAGUCUGAUGGUCCCCAUCCUGCUUCUGUGUAGGGAACAAGGAAGCCAUGAAUGAGCGAAGUCCUGAGGAAAUGUAUAUUUAGACUUGGAUGGGGCCAUCUAGGACUCAGAGACCAACUGUCCCCCCAUCAAUAGGCAGAGCCAUCACCCAUAUGGUCCAGGCUCAAGAGGAAUGGCCACACUUUCCUCGGGAGUCAAGCAUGAUUGUUUAUCAAUGAUUGACCAGUGUGUGCAGACCAGCAACUGUAGUUUCUUCCUCCUCCAGGGUGUUUCCAGCCUGAGCCUGCUCAUGUACAGAGACCUCCACCCAGUCUAGCUGAUCUCCCCCUGUGCUGUACCUAAUGAACAGGCCGAUCGUCCAGCAUCCAAAGCCAAAAGGCAGACAGGACAAAGCAUUUUCGACCAUCCAAUGAGUCUCCUGAACUGAGAUUUCCCCUUGGAUGGCAGACACCUCCAAGUUUCAGUUGCUGAAUACACUGUUCUGGAUGACUGUGAGCUCCAGACUAAAGCUGACAUGGACCAGUCCAGCGGACCUGAUUUGUUCCCUGUCUCUACGGGGUCAGAUAGACACAUGUUUCUGCCAAUGCCCCAUUGCCCAGCCUUUGACUAGCAUUUUUUGGGCCCUGACAAUGGCACCCCAAUGCCAGGUUGAAGCAGCUCCAUAAGAAAAUAUGUCAUCCCAUGUUCCCUGUCCAGAGAAGGCUGAAAUGCUGGGUCAAAAGGACACUCGCUGGAAGAGAGGCAAGAUGGCCAACUAUAAUGUUCAUUGACAUACCAUGAAAAUAGGUUCAGAGUUGUCAAUUGAUAAAGUUAUUAGCCUAAAUGGUUCUGAAAUAAGAUAAGAACUUGACAUUCUUUGUGCAGAACCAAAGAGGUAUUACAUAAGAUUCUAAUCUGGUUGCCCUCAAAGAUCAGAACUACAAGGCCUUAAGAAUGAGAGUAGAUAAAGAUGUCACUGCCCUAGAAAAAUCUAUUAGCUAAUGGUUUGUAGGAACCCAUGCCCUUGCCUCCCUGGACAGGUAGGACUCAUGAUUGAGCCCUAUCUUUGGUACCUGUGAAGGGGGGAAUGUUGAGGGUCCCCAGCACAGCUUGACCACACAGCAGCCAUGACAGGCUUAGGUGUCCAGAUACUGCUUCUGUGACUGGCUUACUGGCAGGCAACCCCAGAUCCAGGAAAAGCCAUAAACUGACACCACCCAGGGAUCCACUGAGGGAUGAGGAAGUAACUGACAUCCCAAGCAUGCCAAACAUUAGAUAAGGUGGCCAAAUAUCCCUGAGUCUAGCACAAACCUAUUUUUGUUUUCUAGAUACCCCUAGACAAU